GACGUAGGGCGCGAGCGUUGUCCGGAUUUAUUGGGCGUAAAGAGCUCGUAGGCGGCUUGUCGCGUCGACUGUGAAAACCCGCGGCUCAACCGUGUGGUCUGCAGUCGAUACGAGCAAACUAGAGUGUUGCAGGGGAGACUGGAAUUCCUGGUGUAGCGGUGGAAUGCGCAGAUAUCAGGAGGAACACCAAUAGCGAAAGGCAGCUCGCUGGGGACGGUACUGACGCUAAGGGCGCGAAAAGCGUGGGGGAGCAAACAG
rnacentral:rRNA from 1 species